UACGUAGGGGGCUAGCGUUGUCCGGAUUUAUUGGGCGUAAAGAGCGUGUAGGCGGCCAGAUAGGUCUGCUGUGAAAACUCGAGGCUCAACCUCGAGAUGUCGGCGGAAACCAUUUGGCUAGAGUCCGGAAGAGGAAAGUGGAAUUCCUGGUGUAGCGGUGAAAUGCGCAGAUAUCAGGAAGAACACCCGUGGCGAAGGCGGGUCUCUGGGCCGAUACUGACGCUGAGGAGCGAAAGCGUGGGGAGCGAACAGG
rnacentral:rRNA from 1 species